GUGGGGAAUAUUGCACAAUGGGGGAAACCCUGAUGCAGCCAUGCCGCGUGUGUGAAGAAGGCCUUCGGGUUGUAAAGCACUUUCAGCGAGGAGGAAAGGUUGGUAGCUAAUAACUGCCAGCUGUGACGUUACUCGUAGAAGAAGCACCGGCUAACUUCGUGCCAGCAGCCGCGGUAAUACGGAGGGUGCAAGCGUUAAUCGGAAUUACUGGGCGUAAAGCGCACGCAGGCGGUUGGAUAAGUUAGAUGUGAAAGCCCCGGGCUCAACCUGGGAAUUGCAUUUAAAACUGUCCAGCUAGAGUCUUGUAGAGGGGGGUAGAAUUCCAGGUGUAGCGGUGAAAUGCGUAGAGAUCUGGAGGAAUACCGGUGGCGAAGGCGGCCCCCUGGACAAAGACUGACGCUCAGGUGCGAAAGCGUGGGGAGCAAACAGGAUUAGAAACCCCAGUAGUCC
rnacentral:rRNA from 1 species